rnacentral:rRNA from 1 species
UACAGAGGUCUCAAGCGUUGUUCGGAUUCAUUGGGCGUAAAGGGUGCGUAGGCGGCGCGGUAAGUCGGGUGUGAAAUCUCGGAGCUUAACUCAGAAACUGCCAUGGAUACUAUUUGUCUUGAAUAUUGUGGAGGUAAGCGGAAUAUGUCAUGUAGCGGUGAAAUGCUUAGAUAUGACAUAGAACACCAAUUGCGAAGGCAGCUUACUACACAGUAAUUGACGCUGAGGCACGAAAGCGUGGGGAUCAAACAGG